GCUCUCCUCCCAACUCAUACUGCCCCCUCCCUACCUUUGAACAGUCGCCUUCCAACACAAGCAACAAUAAAGGUAAGGGAGAAAGAGAAACUACCUCGUAGCCACCUUCACUCCAGCCCAGCCCCACGGUCCUGGCCCAGCGGGCUCGUGCGUUGCUUUAUUUUCUUUUUUCUGAGUGGCUGGAGCAGUCCCGAUCUGCCUAGAGACUCGCGCGGCCUGUUCUCUCAUUGGUCGUUGCGGCCACCCGGAGACAGAAGGCGCCGGGNNNNNNNNNNNNNNNNNNNUCUGCCUGGUAACAGAUUCUGAUUGGUCAAUAGGGGAGGGAAAAUCCAAAGUUGGUCUUAUUUGAGUGAAGAGGGGGAAGUCCGGGUUAGGUUUCGGUUAAAACUGGGGUCGGUUGGGACUGCCGGUCCCGAGAGGUUCUUCUCUUAAAGGGACCGCAGGACGAAAGGCCGGGCGCUGGGCUCCCUUUGGAGCUUUCUUUUCCUUUGCCCUCGUCUUCAGGGUUUCAGUUUUGCCUUCGGUUGUCAGAGCAACUGGAAGAAAAGAAUCAGUGGCUGAUAAAAUAACUGGAAAAUUAUGGGUAGUAGUGAUGGAGGUUCGCUGAAAGUUCACACCACCUCCUUUUGAUGAAAAAUACGUUGAACACCCCACCCUCCGACCCCCGCCCUCAACACAGCCUACAGGCAUCCACAGCAAAUCUGCAAACACGGGCUCACGUUGCUCUCUGAUGGAGGCCUCAAAAUCUCAGCAGCUGUACCACAUUAAGUUAAAAUGCCAAGCGUUUCUUGGUUUCCCGUGGGUAUUUUAUUUCCUUCCGAAGAGUUGCUAAUGUAUUUGCAUACCUGUAGUUCUGCACUUGGUGAACACUGGAAUUUUGACUGACACCCCCAGGGGGUGCUGGAUGCUCACAUGAACUCUUGA
rnacentral:lncRNA from 1 species